rnacentral:rRNA from 1 species
UGGGGAAUUUUGCACAAUGGGGGAAACCCUGAUGCAGCGACGCCGCGUGAUUUAGAAGGCCUUCGGGUUGUAAAAAUCUUUUCUAUGGGAAGAAAAUGACAGUACCAUAGGAAUAAGGACCGGCUAAUUACGUGCCAGCAGCCGCGGUAAUACGUAAGGUCCGAGCGUUGUCCGGAAUCAUUGGGCGUAAAGGGUACGUAGGCGGGUAAGCAAGUUAGAAGUGAAAUCCUAUAGCUCAACUAUAGUAAGCUUUUAAAACUGCUCAUCUUGAGGUAUGGAAGGGAAAGUGGAAUUCCUAGUGUAGCGGUGAAAUGCGCAGAUAUGAGGGGGAAUACCGGUGGCGAGGGCGACUUUCUGGCCAUAACCUGACGCUGAGGUACGAAAGCGUGGGUAGCAAACAGG